GCCAGCCAGAGCGGACGGGUGCGAGAUGGGCACGGAUGAAGAGGAAGCGGCAGACGUGCACGGGAUGGUGUUCAUGGUGUGGGAGACACAUGGGACUGCCCCCGGAGCUCUGUUGAUGUCCCAGGCUCAGGGAGGAAUCAAAGCCACCUGGCAGAAAGCAAACUUCACUGCCUCUUCCCAGAGAUAAAGGAAAAACUUACAAAAGGAGAGAUUUGCAGACAUCCAACAGGAAUUGAAUAAAGCCAUGACUGCGACAUCUGCUGGGAAGCCACCAGGAAAUAGAGGACUACAGCCCAUGUCAAAUCGCACGCAUCUGAAGGAUGUGAAGCCUCCUUCCUUCCUUCCUUUCCCAUCCCCAGAUGGCUUAGAAACAAAGCAGCAUACAUUCUGUAGGAAACAGAAGACACCUAAGAAGAAAUGCUAAUAAGAUGGCUGCAAAGAUUAUAAAUACUUCUCAGCUAUAUAAAUAUGAAAUGUUCGUACGGUGCAGAUCCUCAAGAUGGGAUUUAGCUGCAUGACUGCCAAGUGAAGCUGCAGGACCAAAAAAUGAGGCUAUCUACAAGCUGAGAUAUGGAGCUCUAAACCGUUUUUCCAACUUCAAAACACAAAUCAAGGCACAAACCCACACAAUGACUUUGAAUGCAUUUCUGUGCUGCUUUCAGCUGCUGGACGCAAAUCUCAGAGCCGUGUGAUGGAGACCAGAAACAGCAUUGGCAAAAUGGAGCCAUCUUUCUCUUCUGACUGGAGUGAAGAAAGUCCUCAGCUCUAUGAGCUUGAAGUGGCUGCUGACUGUGGUCCGGGGAACUGCUGGCUAUGGCUCAUUCUCUUUGGGCAUUCGGCACAACGUAGAAAUGUUGUUAUGGAAAGCGCAUUUCACUCAGUUUUAAAACACAAAUGACAGGGGUUAGAGAGCCGGCUGGGCAGUUAAGAGCACUUGCUGCUCUUGCAGAGGACACAGGGUCUGUUCUGAGCACAUGAGGCAGCUCAUGUCUCUCUGUGAUGCUACUUACAGGGAAUCUGAUGCCCUCUCUGACUUCCUCUGGCAUCAGGAGCACAUGCAGUACAUACACCCAUUAGGACUCCAGCACUGUGGGAUACUGGGGGUGCUGGUGCAUGCCUGUAAUCCUUCACUUCAGAAGGAGAGGCGGGAAGAUCAGAAGUUCAGUCAUCUUCUGCUACACAGCCUGGGCUUUAUGACGCCCAGUCUCAAAAACCAAACCAAACAAAGAGUCUCUCAAAUUGCUUCACCAAAAUAAAGUUAUUGUAUCCAACACAAUUUCUUCUUAUGUGAGAAGGACUACUCUACCACACCUGUGGACAUACUCCUAUUAGGAAUGGGAGGUUGCUUAAGUGGUUUUCACUGUCUAACCCAGGCUGGCCUUGAACUUCGGACCCUUUUCUAAGCCCCUCAUGUGUUUGGAUUAUAGGAAUACAGCAUCAUAUCAGCUAACAUUGACAUGCGGCUAAUCUUAGGAAAGCUGGCUGUGAUGGUUGGCCCAGGGAGUGGUACUGU
rnacentral:sRNA from 1 species